CCCCUCCACUGGUUCUCUUUGUGUUGGGAACGCUGCUCUUCCUGGCCUUAGUGCUUCUGGUGGUACUGUUUUACCAGAACAGAGUGCUCAGGAGAGUUGUCUCUAAGACGAGGCGUAAGACUCAGCCUGAGGCAGUCUAUGAGGAGAUCAACCACAGAUACAUCACUAGAAGAAUCACGAGCUCCACUCAAAGAGGAAGUCUCCUCUCUGAAGAACAGCAUUCUGGGUAUGAGCAUGUGGAUGAUGAGCUUCUCUCAGGUAAAAAAGGCCAGAGUGUGAGUUUGUCUGACUCCAUUAACUGAAAGAUAU